AUGCACCACAGGCUUCUCUUUAUUUCCUCUUACUACAAUUUGGGCCUCUACUUCUUCAAGUCUCAACUCAUCAAGUCAGCCAUUUACCCUCUGACCCCAACCACUGCAAUUCUAAAAUACCCUUCUGUCAAAAGGACUCCACAAGGCUUCUCACCUCCCCUCUCUCACUCUUCUGAUGCACCUCAGAUACUGCUCCCGAGUAUAUCUUUCCAAUUGUAUGACUCUGAUCACAAAGCUCCCUGACUCGGUAAUUCAGUGGUACUCCCAAUGCUUACAGAAUAAAGUCCAGAAAUCCCUUAGCCUCACAGUCGAGGUCCUAAUGGAAGAGAACAAACUGCUAGCCCAUCUCCCUAAUGUUCUCUAGAACUCUGCUCUGUGCAAACACACGCCAUUCCUUCCUACGCCCAGAUCGUCCUUCCAUCUAGAAUGCUCUCCCUUUGCUUCUAUGCAUUAAAUUCCUUUAAAGUCAUUUUUAAAGUAGAAAAUCACUUUUUAAAUCACAGGCUUGGGUUUCUCAACCAUAAGAGCUUCAAGGACUUUUUAUAAGGAUUAUAAAUGUUAGAAGUAUUAUAAGUGUUACUACAUAUAAAUUUAGAAAAAUAGCCAACACAUAGCACAAAAUGUUGUUACUGUUAUCCAUUCAACAUAAUGAGGGCUCAAUACAUAUUUUUUAACUGACAUGUAAAACAAAGAAGUCUUAUCCCACCAUACUAUAAACUUUGCUCUCAAAGCAACAGUUUAAGAUCUGAUACCUCUGGAAGUUAAGAUGAUGAAAAUUUCUGAUAAUCAAAACUUUCCAGUUUCUAGGAAUCUCACACAGAUUUAUCAUGUAUGAACAGCAACCCACUAUUUCAUGAUUUAGUCAAGAACAACUUGAUUUAUAAUCACUUCACCAUACAUACAAGUCAUGUUGCUGUACACCUUAAUCACUGUUGCACAUCAAUUAUACCUAAAUAAAAUGGAAAGAAAAAAAUUUAACUAAUAAAAUUUAACAUUUAACCAAAAAUGGACAGUGAGGGCAAGCCUUAUCAAUAUAAAGUAGUUUCAUCAUUUACUUUUUUAAAAAGCAAGGUACAUAUAAUAUAUAAUUUACCAUCUUAAGCACUUUAAGCAUACAGCUCUGUGGUACCAAGUACAUUCACACUGUCGUACAAAGACCACCACCAUCCAUCUCCAAAAAUCUUAUCUUUCAAAACUGAAACUCUGAAUUUACUAGACAAUAACUCCUCUUCCACUCCCUC
rnacentral:lncRNA from 1 species